CUCGCCGCCGCCAAAUUCGCCGCGCCCGAGCUCGCCGCACUAAUCUCGUCUUUUGUGUCGGCCCCUCCAACCCCACUGCCACUCACGUCACCCAACCCUUCCGCGGCCUGGAUGGCGCAGUCCUAAAAUCGCUACCCGUAUUCUUUUAUUCAUCCAAGACCCACCCGGAUUCGAUAGAGUGUGCCGUUUGCCUAUCCGAAUUCGAAGAGAACGAAAAGGGUCGGACCCUACCCAAAUGGAACCACAUGUCGAUGCAC
rnacentral:misc_RNA from 1 species